UAAGCAAAUAAAAAAUCUGAAAAAAUUUAAAAUAUAUUGUAUAUGAGACUAUCUGAGAAUGUAUUAAAUAUGUGUAUGAUAAAGUAUAAAAAAAUAUUAUACAAAGAGAAAAUCUAACUUAUGAGAAGAAAAAUUACUAGUAAAACUAUAUUUUUAUUGCAUUUUAUAAGUGAGAAAAUGAUCAUUGUAUGAUUAAAUAUAACAUUUUAUCUUUGAUUUUAAUAUUUUGAUUUUUUUCUGAUAUUUUCUGAUUUUUAUUUGCAUUCAUUAAUUUAAAAUUGUCAAUGAAGUCACGCGAUUUUAGCCAACAAAUCGCAGCAAAAAGCUUCUACGCAUGCAUUUCGAUGGUACAUGGUUCUUCAUGCCGUAACGGUCGUCCUGACUCGUCAUCGUAACAGUGCAGUGUAGUUGAGUCAAUUGAGUGUAGUGGUCAUGGUCAGUGGUAGUGGUGUAAUACUUUGCAAGUACCAUGUUCUUAUAUGUAAUAUUUUUACAUUGAAUUGGAGUAUUUUGCAUAAUAUCGGAUCUCCCUGGAUGAAAAAAACCUCAGGAAAUUGUGGAAUAAUAUUGCCAAACAUUGGAAACAAUACGAGAGCAAGCAUUUCAUAUUUUAUUGUUGACAAACCUCGCAUAUUUUAUUUUAUAAGUUCUCUCAAAGAAGUGUAUGAACGGUUAGUUUUAUGAACAUAUAUAAAAUAUGUUAGAUAUUGCUAAUUGAAAAAACUAUUAUUUAAUUACAUUUAAAAUUGUAGAAUAUACAAUCUCUAAUUAUUAUAAGCUUAAUUCUACAAAAAUGUAUAUAUUUUUAACUUCAAAUAUCUUUGUAACUAAAUUUUGAAUUAGAAUUUCAUUAAAGUAAAAUUCACUUGAAAAUAAUAUCAAAGUAUUAAUUGUAUACAUUUUAAUUUUUUUUUUAACCACGUUGAGAUUAAUCAUCAGCCAUUCACUGCAGUGCUUGAACAGUAAAAAAAUUCUAGACACCGUUUGCUGUGAAUGGAUGCAGUGGUCAAUUGCAACGUGAUAAAACAAGACCCUCCCAUAUAUUAACAAAUUUACAAAAUACUAUAUGAACUUCCAAUUACUGCGCAUUAUUUUUAAGUACUUUUUAUGCUUUUAAUACUUUUAAUGCUAAUUUAUUAAAGAUUGUAUAUAAUAAUAUUAAUUUUUAAUUGUAAAUCAGAAAAAAAUGAAUAAAAAUAUUGAUAUGUAAUGCAUUAAAAGUAUGUGAAAAAAAUGGGCAAUGAUUAGAAUUUUUGAGUGCCGUAUGCAUGCAUGCGAGCAAUAUGAGUCUCAUUUGGAAAACGCAUUUGAGGCUCAUAUCGUUCGCACGCAUGAGUACCGCACGUGUGCGACCAAUAUGAGUCUCAUAUGAUGACGCAUCUGUUGGAUACCGUGAGCUCACACCGUGCGGAUAAUCCGCACAGCAUCCGCGCUCCGCGCUCACUAUGCGCGCAUUUUGUUAUCUGGGUAAUCACAUUUUACCUGUAUAGAAAUAUUCAAAAGCUUUCUGUCCAAUCAAGACUCUAAUGCGUAAUCAACGCGCUAUUUAUUGAAUAAAUUGAAAUAACGAUGAAAGUAACGGCUGAAUUCGUUACCGUUACUGUAAAAAUGUAAUAUAAAAAUGUCAUUAUAAACCAAAAAAGUAAUGAUUAUUGCCGUAAAAAAGUAACGAAAAUAGUAAUGGGUAAUAGUAACGCGUUACUUCCCAACUCUAUUAUAUUGUAAUAAACAAAUGAAGUGUCUUACAUCAAUCAUAUGUACAUCUAAAGGUGAGCAGUAUUUGAAAUACGUCUUUAAACACAUUUUGUAUUUAAAUAUAUUUUUGGAAAGUAUUUUGUAUUUCAAUCGGUGUUAGGUAAAAACCUGUUUUUUUUAAGAAAAACCAAAAAAUCAAGUUUUUUUUGUUUAAACCAUGCCAACCCUGAUUUAAAUACAAUUAUUAACAUAUUUUGGUUACUCACACUUGGCUAGAUCUUAGUGCUAAUAUUUGUUAUGUCAUUUUAUAUACCUUAUAAAGUUCACGAAAUUGCGCGCCGAAUUAAUUUUCGGUCUUAAAACACAAUUAUAAGAUAAAGAAAAAUUAGUAAUAUCACGUUAUUAAAUUGAAAAUCAACUUAAUAGUAAAUGAUGCUAACAAGCAUCUAAAAAUAUAUAUAACCCUUUCCCCCUUAAUAAAAACUGUUAAAAAUCUGUUGUUUAUCUUAUUUGUCUUGUUCAUCCUAUAAUUAUGUUUCAAAACCAAAAAUUUAAUUCGGCGCGUAGUUUCGUGAAUUUAAAAAGAUAUAUAAAAUCAUAAUAAAUAUUAUAGAUUAAGAUCUAAUUAUAACCGAUGUAAAACAUUUUAUUUAUUGUAUUUGUCACAUCUCAGUUAAUGUUUUCUAUUUAAUUUAAUUUAUAUUGUAGUACUUACAUUUCGUUGCAAUAACGCUUGGAUUUGAUCAUUUACAGCAAAAACAGUCUCCAUAAUUUAAAACAAUCUUUGAAUUGUAUAGUCACUUUAUCCAAAACAUUCACAAACUCUGUCAAAAAGAAAAAAAUAAACAAUAUUAUAUAAGUUAUUUAGAGUAGUGUCUCUUAUACAUUUAUUUUAUCAUAUACAAUAACAUGGAAGGUAUUAAUUAAAAUAUUGUAAAGAUAAAGUUUAAGUUUAAAUCUUAAUUUUUUAAAAUUUGAAGAUUUUAAAGUUAUUCUACGAGUUUUUCCCAAACCUGAUUAUGAAAUAACUCCUCCAGUAGAAAUCGGAAGAAGGUAAUAAAUAUAUUUACAAUUAAUAUUGUUUUAUUUUACAAUUUAUAUAAAAUGAGACAUUUAUCAAUUUGAAAAAUUUUUCAACUUGAGAUAAAUAGAUAAAAAGAUAUAUGUAUGAAUAUAAAUAUAUCUAUAAAUAUGUAUGGAUAUCUUACCUCAAGUGCCUUUUUAGCUAUUAAUUUUAAAAUGUUUCCCUUAUUAUGUCAUUUUAUAUACGAAGUCUACUAUUAUUUCCUUUAAUUCGUAAAUAAAUUGCUAAUGUUAACAAUUUGUGUCUAUUUUUAUAAACAUCCCUUUGGUUAUUUAAACAGUACUCAAUCAAGAUUAAUUUAUAUACUGUUAAUCUAACUUGAAGUGGUAAUAUAUCGACUUUGAAUUCAUUCAAUAUUUGGAGCAAUUUAAUAAGAUCACACUCGUCUUUAAUUUUUAUAUCAUCUUCGAUGAAAUCGAAGUAAGUUCUGCAACAAUUAUUUCCAUAAUUCAGAUUAAAUUAUUAUAUACAAUUAUUAUGUCAAUAAGUUACUUAUUUAGCUAAGCUAGCCUCUCUCUCUUUUUUUCUAAGUUAAUUAUAAUUAAUAUCAUAAACCAAACAUCAAUGAUGGAAAAUAAUAACAAUCAAUAAUCACAAACGUUGGACAUGUCGGUUGAUUUUUAUCAAAAUAAUGAUUGUUUAAUAGUUUGUUCAAUAUUAAUCAAAUCACAUUAUAAAAUCAAAAACUGUAUUUUUCGUUUGAAAGCGAGAAAAUUUCUGUCACUCGUAUAAAAUGUUAAAAGAUUUCCCAUAUACGACAAGACUCGUUAUCAUUUUGCCCUUCCGUCCAGGAGUUGAGAAGAUUGUCCCUCCUGCGAGUUCAAUAGAAUAGUAACGCGGUUGAAGGUGUAACUCGAAAACCGCCAGCUUACAGAGCUAUGUCGUACAGUUCUGUGACAAUAUUUUCAAUAUCUAUGACAAUUCUCAUUACAAAUUUUCUCAUGGACAUCGGUAGCGACAGUAAGUAUUGUCAUAGAACUGUACGACAUAAUUCUCUCCUUUAUCUCCGAUAACUGAUGAACUAACCAGUCAUGGAAUAUAUGGGAAAUCUUUUGAGUGACAGAUCAUCUCGUUAUAUGAGUGACAGCAUUCUUAUAUGAGUGACAGAUCAUCUCGUUUUCAAACAAAAAAAACACAAUAUUUGAGAGAGAGAGAGAGAGAGAGAGAGAGAGAGAGAGAGAGAAAGAGAGAAAGAGAAAGAGUAUUCUUAUAUGAGUGACAAAUCAUCUCGUUUUCAAACAAAAAAUACACAAUAUUUGAGAGAGAGAGAGAGAGAGAGAGAGAGAGAGAGAGAGAGAGAGAAAGAGAAAGCGGAAAAAGAGAAGAGAGAGGAAAGAGCGGUGAGAGAGGAGAGAGAAUACGGAGAGAAAGAUGUGAUUCGGUCUAUCUUAGAGAGCGGAGAGAAAGGAGAGAGGGGGAGAGAGAGAGAGAGAGAGAAAAUAUACGGAGAGAAAAAUGUGAUUCAGUCAAUCUUAGAGAGCGGAGAUCGGAGAGAGAGGGGAGGAGAGAGAGAGAGAGAGAGAGAGAGAAUAUACGGAGAGAAAAAUGUGAUUCAGUCAAUCUUAGAGAGCGGAGAGCGGAGAGAGAGGGGUGAGAGAGAGAGAGAGAGAGAGAGAAUACGGAUAGAAAGAUGUGAUUCGGUCUAUCUUAGAGAGCGGAGAGAGCGGAGAGAAAGGAGAGAGGGAGAGAGGGGGAGAGAGAGAGAGAAAAUAUACGGAGAGGAAAAUGUGAUUCAGUCAAUCUUAGAGAGCGAAGAGAGAGGGGAGAGAGAGAGAGAGGGAGAGAGAGAGAGAGAGAGAGAGAGAGAGAGAGAAAGAGAAUAUACGGAGAGAAAAAUGUGAUUCAGUCAAUCUUUGUGAGCGGAGAGAGCGGUGCGGGAGAGAGAGAGAAUACGGAUAGAAAGAUGUGAUUUAGUUAAUAUACGGAUAGAAAGAUGUGAUUUAGUUAAUCUUAGAGAGCAAAGAGCGGUGAAA